rnacentral:rRNA from 1 species
GAUGAACGCUAGCUACAGGCUUAACACAUGCAAGUCGAGGGGAAACGGCAUUAAGUGCUUGCACUUUUUGGACGUCGACCGGCGCACGGGUGAGUAACGCGUAUCCAACCUUCCCAUGACUAAGGGAUAACCUGCCGAAAGGCAGACUAAUACCUUAUGGUCUUCACUGACGGCAUCAGAUGUGAAGUAAAGAUUUAUCGGUUAUGGAUGGGGAUGCGUCUGAUUAGCUUGUUGGCGGGGUAACGGCCCACCAAGGCAACGAUCAGUAGGGGUUCUGAGAGGAAGGUCCCCCACAUUGGAACUGAGACACGGUCCAAACUCCUACGGGAGGCAGCAGUGAGGAAUAUUGGUCAAUGGGCGAGAGCCUGAACCAGCCAAGUAGCGUGCAGGAUGACGGCCCCAUGGGUUGUAAACUGCUUUUGUAUGGGGAUAAAGUCAGUCACGUGUGAUUGUUUGCAGGUACCAUACGAAUAAGGACCGGCUAAUUCCGUGCCAGCAGCCGCGGUAAUACGGAAGGUCCGGGCGUUAUCCGGAUUUAUUGGGUUUAAAGGGAGCGUAGGCUGGAGAUUAAGUGUGUUGUGAAAUGUAGACGCUCAACGUCUGACUUGCAGCGCAUACUGGUUUCCUUGAGUACGCACAACGUUGGCGGAAUUCGUCGUGUAGCGGUGAAAUGCUUAGAUAUGACGAAGAACUCCGAUUGCGAAGGCAGCUGACGGGAGCGCAACUGACGCUGAAGCUCGAAGGUGCGGGUAUCGAACAGG